AGGCGGGGAUAGGCGGCGGGGGUCCUGGUGGGGUAGAGCGUGCGCAAGAGAUGGUGGAUGUAGGGGAGGUGGAGCUCUAGGCUAUGUUCGGCGGAGUCGACGGGCGGGCUCAUCGUGGUGAAGUGCGGGUUGGUGGAGGUGGUGGAGAGGAGGUGGGUGAUUAGGUCUGUGUCAAGGGGCAGUGGGUCCGGGGAGAGAGGGGUUUUGUAGCUGGUUAGUUGCGGGAGGGCGAGGGUGGAGAGGUGGUGGUGGUGAGAGGGGCCGAGGAGGAAGAUGCGUUUCCUGUUGUUUGUUUGUUUGUUUGUUGUUGGUUAGUUACAUGUUGAGAGUUUCUUUUUAUAAUAUGGUUUAGAUAGAGGUGGACAUACGCUUUGGAGAGGUCCAGCGCCUUAUAAGCCCAUGCAGCACACGGUCCAGAGUAUGCGUAGCCAGCGUGACUGCUCAUCCAUAUAGACGGUGGUGACAUUAGCAGAUGGAUGAGGAAAAGGCCAUCAAGGGCAGGAUGCACAGGAAGAGCACGGAAGCAUACGGUGCAAUGAUGACUCUAGCUCCCGCGAUGGGGAGUGGGCCGAUGCCAGGCAGCUCGUCUGGGACCUGAGCAAGCCAUUUCUCCAGCUGGCUCGAGAGGGUUGGCUCGUGGUCUGAGUACCAGGACCCGGCAUGCGUUGCUUCUCUGGAGGGCAUUCUGGACUGGGUCGUAGGCGAUGUUGUGUUCGGGAUUGCUCGUUGAUAGCACACUUGGUUGGGCGGAGUUGGUGAUGAAGAGCCGCGGAAGACGGACUGGACUGUGGUUGGUGGGGUUUGUGCCCAUGACGUAGGGGCUGCUGACUCAACGCUCCCCCGCCAUUUUUAUGGAGCAAAACAUUUUCCUUGUACGCAGCGUAUGUAUUAUUAUUUAUAUUAGAGUCAGGC
rnacentral:sRNA from 1 species